rnacentral:sRNA from 2 species
ACUUUGUACUCUGAAUUAGCUGAUAGUAUUGUGCUAGCUCGAGCUGCAAUAGUGCCAUACCCAAAGAGACCAAUCAGUGGUGGUCUCCCUAUCAAGGAUGGAGAUCUUUCAAUAGUCGAUAAAUUUCUGAGAACUUCAAUCCCGUGUGAGUCAAGCAUUUUUCCCAAUUAUUGGCAGCUCUUGCUUCUUAAACUUGUUCUUUUCGUCUAACAGCCCAGUAGCGACACAUGUUCUAUGCUCUGAAGGAUACUACAUAAUACUCCUCUGCUAUAUUAUUUUCAUGAAGCUUACUUCAACUUCCAACUACCCUUCUAGUUCUCUACCCUCUUAGAAGCUAACACUACUAUCACAACACACUCUGUUCUUAUCAGGCAAACACCACGAGAAGACCCUCUGAGUCUAUGGAGACCUCUAGAAAACAUCACAUUAACUCUCGUUGGUCCAUUCUGUAACACGGCUUCAACAUCAACCUGGACAAGACAGCUCUGAUCAUGCCAUUGGAGAUUGUGCUUUUCUCUAGGAUCUCACAGGUUCGGCCGUCACGCUGCUCAAGGCUCGUCUUUCCUGUGAUGUGGCCAGAUCCUGAUCCCCCCUAAGCGUCGGUUACUGUAUUGGCCCACUGCUUCGCCCGUUUCUUGGAGCAGCAUCCGCUACAGACCAUUGUUCCAAACCAUUGUAUGGUUGGACCUUUGUUCAGCUCCAUCGCGCUGCCAUGCAGCUCGUGCCUUUUACUUGAGAACACCAUUUGGUGAGGCGUAUUACCCACUGCGAAGGCGCGUUGUGCUGCGCUGGAAGUUUCAUACGGGACGACCUCGGCAUCUCAGCUAGCAAGCGAUAGGAAGCUAUGUGUAAAAGUAUUUAUCAAUUACAACAAUUAUCGCAUUAAACCUUAUCCUUUAUUUUGGAGGACAUCAUUAUCUACUAAAGUUAGAGUUUCUGUAUGAAUCAC